GCCCCCAUAGCUCAACGGAUAGAGCACUGGUCUUCGGAACCAGGAAUGGCGGUUCAAAUCCGUCUGGGGGCG
rnacentral:tRNA from 1 species